rnacentral:rRNA from 1 species
UGAGGAAUAUUGGUCAAUGGACGCAAGUCUGAACCAGCCAUGCCGCGUGCAGGAUGACGGUCCUAUGGAUUGUAAACUGCUUUUGUACAGGAAGAAACAUCUCUACGUGUAGAGACUUGACGGUACUGUAAGAAUAAGGAUCGGCUAACUCCGUGCCAGCAGCCGCGGUAAUACGGAGGAUCCAAGCGUUAUCCGGAAUCAUUGGGUUUAAAGGGUCCGUAGGCGGCUUAGCAAGUCAGUGGUGAAAUCUCCCCGCUCAACGGGGAAACGGCCAUUGAUACUACUAGGCUUGAAUUAUUAGGAAGUAACUAGAAUAUGUAGUGUAGCGGUGAAAUGCUUAGAUAUUACAUGGAAUACCAAUUGCGAAGGCAGGUUACUACUAAUUGAUUGACGCUGAUGGACGAAAGCGUGGGGAGCGAACAGG